AAACAUAAGGGAUUAAAACUUUACGGGCUCGACCACAAGAUAGGGAGUCCAAAAGAACAAUUCCAUCCUAAGAAGAACUUGCUUGAUGUCUUUUGCAUUUAUCUUCUUAACAGGUUAUCUUUUCUCUGAUUUAAAUUUCUUUUAUUGGAUACUUAAUAGCAAACUCACUUUGAAUUUCAUCUAGAUAAUUUCUUUUCACUCGUGUAAUUUAGAUAUUUUCUCUUUGCUUAGCUUGGUUUUGCAUUACUGUGAAAUAGCAGGAUAGAUCUUUAUUUUUGUCGUCUUUCAUGUUCUCUUGAUUCGUCACCUUUUAAGAAAUAAAAAUGUCUACAUUGUUUUUGCGAAAGCCAUACGGAAGUAUGCGUGAAAUCUUUUUCUAACUUCGAUACGUGAAUUUUACAUGUUAUUUUUUUUAAAAUUAAACAUUAACUAAUUAUAUCAAUACUGAAAAGAAAUAGAGAUUAUGGGUCAAUAACAAGUAGUCUAAUGCAUUUUAUAAAUUUAAGAAGUUGAAAAAUUACUAUGAUAUAAAAUUUAUAAAGUAACCAUUCGAUUUCUUCUAUAAUGGACAGUUUUUCCAAACGCCUAUUUGAUCUUUUGUUUAAUUAUCAAAGAGAUAAAUUUUUCUUUGUUAUCCACAGUCAACUAAUGAAUUUGUCGAACUAAAAAAAGGACUCCUGACUAACUAAAAGAAAUUUCUUUCCCAAGAGUAUGGAACAUAACAAUAGCACAUGUAUCUCUAAAAAGAUGUUUGCCUUAAUUAAUAAGGGAAUGGUUGGAGAUUAUUGGAUUUAGUCUAAAAGAGAAUUGUCUCAAAGAUUCUAUGGUAGGGUGCACAUUAUAUUGACGAUGGACAUUGCAAGUUCACACUUUAUUGGAUUUAGUCCAAAAGAGAAUUGUCUCAAAGAUUGUAUGGUAGGGUGCACAUUAUAUUGACGAUGGACAUUGUAAGUUCAAAAUUUAAUUUCGACUAGAAUUCGGGAGCUAAAAAUGGAAUCUUUUUUACUUUUUCAAAAAAAAAAAAAAAAAAAAAGCUUUUGAGUCCAGUGCACUAGUAAAAUUAACCAUAGCUAAUUUUUUUCCAAUAAGAGAGAGUUUCUCGGAUGAGCGCCCUCACUUCUAAUUCAAAGAUUGUGAGAUUGAGUCACCAAGAGAGAAAAUGGGUGAAAGCUCCGAGAGAGUUUUCCGUAAUAAACAUAAUGUGAUAGCUUGAAAAAUUAAUAGUCGUGUCACGAUUUCAAAAUUUAUUUAUUUUGAGGAGUGUUUUUUUGUCAGAUGUGCUUUCCGAAAAACUAAUAACAAUUUAUGUUGGCUAAUGAAUUUAUAAAGUGUUUUGUCAAUAUUAAAUCAGCCAUUCGUGCAUGGUCAAAGUUCCAGUAAAGCUUCCUGAAGAAAACUGUUUUUCUUUUUGAACUUCUUAACAAUCAAUUUUUAGUACUAAAAUACACUAUUUUUCCUAAGAAUUUGAUCAAAUACGUUAACUCUCUAAAAUAAAUACUAUUUUUUGGAAAAUAUGUGUGUUUUUAACUUCUCAGGAGUGUUGCCAAACAGACAAUUAUCAUUUUACUAUAACUAUGAAAAACUUGAGAUAAGUUUGAAAAAGUGGCACCCCUUCUCCUAGAAACAUAUUCCACCAAUAAUUAAAGCUUAAAAGAUUUAAGUCUAUUUCACCUAAGACAACAAUGGUGGGUGGUGGGGUGAACAUGAUGGGAAUAUAUAGUGAAGUAAUGUAUCAAGUGGACUCCAUUUACCCACUGUCCAAAAGAACAACCUUAGGUUCUCAAAAACUUUGGAAGCAUGUUAGUGCCCCCCAUUGAGAAUCCAUGUGUUUUCUUCAUAUAAAAUAUCAAAAAAGACUAGUCCCUUUUAAAUGGAUUCCAACUCAUGUAAAGCAUAGAUUCCAUACUUUCCCUUUCACUAACCUAACCAAAAAAAAAAAAAAAACUCUCUUCCUUAUUAUUUUAUGUGAUAUUACUUUCAUUUCAUAUUAAUUUACUUUUAAAAUAUAUUUAUUUCUUUAUUUAAAAACAUCUAACUAAAAACAUUUAAAUUUAUCUAUCCAAUAUGUUUUUCCAAAUUUACAUAUCUUUUUUUAGUUUGGUAUAAUCAUUUAGUAUCUAAAAUUCACUAAUCCCGUAAAAUCUCAUAAGUUUCUAGAUUUAGUUCACUCUAAUUUCCCGUAAAUAUAGUUAUUUAAAUGAAUCUGAAGUACAUGUUACCCAUACGAAAAAGCAGGAAGAACCUAGUUUCUAAAACCAAUGUAUAUAGUCCUCUAAUCUUAGAUUCCACCAAUUAAAGUUAUGUAGACAAAGUUAUGCGCAUGCACUUUAGCAAACAACAUGCCUCAAGAAUGACUAAGUAGUUUGCGAUGCAACAUAGAAGGCAAUGCACGAUCAAUCAGUUGGGUUCCAAGUAAAUAUGUGAAUGGAAAAUAGAGGAAACAAAUGGAGGAAAAGUGAAGUGAGUUUUUCACUUUAAGAAAGUAAAGUUCUCCCACAUUGAUGGGAGAAAAAAACUUUCUUAUGCUUAUAUUGAGAAGUAUUCCUUUAUGUGGAUAGUGUGGUAAGAACAAGAGAUGUCUUGUGCUAUUGUAGUUGCUUGUCUUCGACUUUGCCAAAUAAUCAAGAGAAAUAAUUUUUGAACAAGAUUUAUUUGAAACUUGAAAUUAAGUGAAGUUUUAAUUAAAAAAUUCAAUAAAAAAGUUUUCUCAUUUGCGGACGCAGUGCGAACGUAGUCACAAUGCAUUUCGAAGGGAUGCGACCCUCGGGGCCAGAGACACACUGGUUGGGACGUAACCAUGACUUGUGGACGCAGGUGCCACACAGAACUUACUGGAAAUGGCCAAACGCGACCUGCAGGCAUAGGUAUGGCGCAGGACCAGUGCAAAACCACAGUAGGUCGUGUGUUGUUCCAGAAAAUUAUCUCUUUUCGUGAACCACUGAUUCCUUUUUGAAGCAACACUUUUUGGUUAUAAAUACCUAAACUUUUCCUCAGGUAAAGUUACGAAUUUGAGUUGAAAAACAUCUUCUUCUUCUAAAAAACUCUAGUAUGAUCUUCAAAUCGUUAAGUGAGUCACCACAAAAAAUGGGUAUAAUUGUGGGGGCUUAUUUGCGGAGGUUAUUUUAACCCCUGCAAAAUUAUAUUAAAUGUGGGGGUUAAAAAUGUGCCACUAAAAAUUAUAUAAUUUGCAGGGAUUUUUAACCCUCGCUAUACAUAAAAAAAAUACCGCUAAAAAUUAUAUAAUUUGCGGAAAUUUUAACCCUGCUAUGCAUCCAAAAAUAAUACCACGAGCUGAAAGAAUAUUUCUCUUUUUUCCCCCCAACAAAUAUUUCUCUCUCUUAUUGCUACACAGUGAGAGGUCUCGGUCAACCAUUUCCUUCCCAGCUCCGAUCGAUCCUUAUCCAUUGUUACACAGUGAGUUUUCUCUUUUUCCAAUUUAAGAAAUUUCAUAUCAAAUAUGCCCAAUUGGCAGGAAUUUCCCAAAAUUUUCUAUGAGGCAGUACUGAUAAUGGCUCUGUUUAUGUGGUUUGUACAACUCCGACUCCGGUACCAAAGGAUUCUAUGACUCGUACAACUCCGUCUCCG
rnacentral:lncRNA from 1 species